rnacentral:rRNA from 1 species
CCUACGGGAGGCAGCAGUGAGGAAUAUUGGUCAAUGGACGAGAGUCUGAACCAGCCAAGUAGCGUGAAGGAUGACUGCCCUAUGGGUUGUAAACUUCUUUUAUAUGGGAAUAAAAUGUUCCACGUGUGGGAUUUUGUAUGUACCAUAUGAAUAAGGAUCGGCUAACUCCGUGCCAGCAGCCGCGGUAAUACGGAGGAUCCGAGCGUUAUCCGGAUUUAUUGGGUUUAAAGGGAGCGUAGGUGGAGUGUGAAGUCAGUUGUGAAAGUUUGCGGCUCAACCGUAAAAUUGCAGUUGAAACUGGCAGUCUUGAAUACAGUAGAGGUGGGCAGAAUUCGUGGUGUAGCGGUGAAAUGCUUAGAUAUCACGAAGAACUCCGAUAGCGAAGGCAGUUCACUGGACUGCAACUGACACUGAGGCUCGAAAGUGUGAGUAUCAAACAGGAUUAGAUACCCGAGUAGUC